CCUAGCCGCCGGGGCCUCCAGCCCUUCACGGUCCGGCCCCUCUCCACAUCCACAAGGACCCUUCUGCCAUCUAUCUUCUUGCCAUCUGCGUGCUUGUAAGCGGCUGCAACAGAUGGGGGGGGGGGGGGGAAGAGUCCCCAGAGGAUCCUCUAAUCAGGACAAGGUUCCACACAGUAGCAACCCUGCCCAUCAGACCUCAUUCAUAUGCACACGCACACGCGCACUCCCACCAGACAGCCAGGCAACCGACAGCCAGACAGCCCUCUCCCCACCCUGAGGGGCCUGCUCCAUCCAGUGCUUGAUGCCUUAACACCCCCAAUUGCUAUUGGGGGGCAAAACGUUUACCCUGGCCACCCCCGGCUUCCCUAUGAUGAAGCAGCCCCCUCCUGCCAGGGCGGCCAAAGUUGCUGCAAAGAAACUGGAGGUUAGCUGAAUGCUGGCCUCUGCUGUGGGGAGGGCUCCUCCACACCCAGGCAUGCACCCUAGACACCAUGCUGGGGCAGGAGGCCCAACUGGGCCCCUCCACACCCCAGACCACACCGGUUUUCUUUUUCUGUAUGUUUUCUCAGUGGAAAGUCAGAGUGAGGAACAGACAUCAGAACAGAAAAUGAACCAGAAGGGGGUAGGAGAUCUUCAGGAACUGGCAGGGGUGAAGAGGUGGGUGCUGAGCUCCUCAGGGGCCUCCAUGGGCCCCUGGUGGGACGCAGAUGGGAGACAUGAGAUGCUAUUCAAAAUCCCUGCCUUACCUGAGCCGACUGACCCUGCCAACAACUAACCCUGCCAGCUCUGCCUUCCAUGCCCAGACAAUGGCCAGCCAGCCCGGCCAGAGCUGUCAGGUAAGAUAAUGAGCAGAGGACAGAGGAGUUGGCCUAGGGCUACUCCUGGCAGGGCACAACCCAGGGCACACACAGGCCCAUGAUCAGGCAGAGCUGUCCAGAA